CAAAGGCCUGGUCCCGACUUUAACAUCAAUUACAGCUUAAAUUAUACAUGCAAGUACCCGCGCCCCUGUGAGGACACCUUCUUUUUCCUGCUUUGGGAAAGAAAAUUGGCAUCAGGCACACCUAAGGUGGCCCAAAACGCCCAGCUACGCCACACCCCCAAGGGAAUUCAGCAGUGAUAAAUAUUAAGAUAUAAGCGAAAGCUUGACUUAGUUAUAGCUAUACUAGAGCCGGUAAAACUCGUGCCAGCCACCGCGGUUAUACGAGAGGCUCAAAUUGAUGACCAACGGCGUAAAGAGUGAUUAGAGAAUAAGCAACUAAAGCUGAAAAUACCCUAGGCCGUAAUACGCUUUCCGGGGAAAGAAAACCUAAAACGAAAGUAGCUUUAAUAAACUUGAAUUCACGACCCUUGAGAAACAAACCGGGAUUAGAUACCCCGCUAUGCUCAAAAGUAAACAAAGAUGGCAGCAUACAACCACCAUCCGCCAGGAAAUUACGAGCACAUUCUAUUUUUAUGCUUGAAACCCAAGGGACUUGACGGUGCCUUAGACCUGCCUAGAGGAGCCUGUCCCGCAACCGAUAACCCCCGUUAAACCUAACCACCCCUUGCCACAUCAGUCUAUAUACCGCCGUCGCCAGCUUACCUUGUGAGAGUAAAAUAGUAAGCUAAAUGAGAUAUUUAACCCAGAACGUCAGGUCGAGGUGUAACACACGAGGUGGGGAAAGAUGGGCUACAUUUUCUGAAACAGAACAACACGAAAGAUGUUAUGAAAAACACAACAAAAGGUGGAUUUAGCAGUAAUGAGAUGAAAAAGAGUGCUCUAAUGAAGACGGCUCUAAGACGCGUACACACCGCCCGUCACUCUCCUCUAAGCCAGGAUAAAAGUAAAUAAAGAUAAAAACAGCUAACAGAAGAGACAAGUCGUAACACGGUAAGCGUACCGGAAGGUGCGCUUGGAAAAAUA
rnacentral:ncRNA from 1 species